AUUUGAUCCUGUAGAUACCGAGAUUAUUAUUAGAUCAACCCAUACUCAAGAUUUGCUUCGUUUGCGGCGUGGAUUGUUGUUUCGAAUCUGCAUAAGAAUACAAAAAAAUAGUUUAGGAGAUGAUUCAUGUACAAGCAUCUGAAUGGUGGUUCUUGACUGAAGUCUCCUCUUAUUGCCAAUGAUGUUGAGAUAAUCAUGAAGGUAAUGUCCUGAUUCUUUUGUGAAU